UAUAUUUUGAAGAGAGGAAAAGAAAGGAUACAAUUUUCUUUGAUUUUUUUUUGUAUUCUGUGGUAAUACAGGAUUGUUCCUUUCAAUCUCUCUUUUGAAGAGAAGAUGUCAUUUUUGUUUUUGUUAUUUUGUGUAAAGCAGAGAUAUAGACUAAAUAAUGAAAUAGUGUUGGGCUAUAAUAGACAGACAAUAUUAACACAAAUGUCUGUAUUUUAGAAGCUGCUUUACUUUUUGAAACGGGAAAAACCUGAAACUCUUUCUUUCCAGCUCCAGAGAGAGCCAUCCUGAUGGAACCUACUGACCAGGAGGACACAAAAGAAAAGAGGGAAGAGAUGAAAGAAGGGGAUCUACAUCUUAUCUUGUCUGCACACUUCAACCAAAAGAAACAGCUGUGUCUCAGAACCCUCUCCACACAGUCUCGUGGACUUAUGUGUUCUGCUUUCACAGGUCAGACCUGGAGCUGGUAACAGAACAACCCUGUUAUUAGCCCCGAGAUACUUCUAAGUUUCUUUUGUUUUUUCUUCACCUUGACCAGCAUUUAAUUGCCCUUUAUUAAUUUUUCCUUAAAUUACCCAAUUUAGC
rnacentral:lncRNA from 1 species